AAGGAAUUCAAGUAAAUGAUUAUUGGGUAACUGUAUACAGUGUUUAAAUAUUUCCAAUUUUAAAAAUUGCAUAUUUUAACUUUACUAACAACUUGUUUAAACAUACUGAGUAGAUAUUACUUAGUUUUGGUUAAUUUCCAAGUUAUUUUAAUUGGUGAUAAUAUUUAAAAUAGUUACCAAUAUUCUUAUAUAAAAUGAACACAAUAAACCGGCCUCGAGAUUGUUAAUAUUAAGGAUACUGGUCUGAAUAAUAAUCAUUAUCAAAUUUUUGAACAUUUUAAUUAAAUAAAAAUCCAUGCACCUGAUUCAUGGGAUAAUAGUUUUUUUCGUUUACCUUGCACGACUGUAACAAAUAGGUAGUAGUUUUCAUCUCCAACACAUAAUUGAGGAAAUGCAUUUUGUUAGGAAACGAUGAAUGAUGUUGUUGGCUGCCACAUAAUUCUUCAAAGAAAGAAAACAAUGGAAAACCAACAUGUUAGAAAUGUAAAUAUUAAUUUUUUUUUACGUAGAACUCAAUAUACAAAUUUAAGAAGAUAAUUAUUUUACGGGUUCUGAAUUUACAUUCAAAAUUUUUAAAAUGUAUUUAUAUUAUAUUGGCAUUAAAUAAACAAACAUUUAUUUCUGCCUGAACAGAUAAC